UCCUUUGACCAGCGGUGUCAUUGGCUAUUCGCAGCGAGGCUAUUGGGUUUGACUGCAUGUUCUCUUAGUCUCUAGCCAUUCAAAUCUUUGCUAUGUAUGUUGGCUUCAGUAAGGUCAGGUUUGCUGUUUAGAGUAGGAUGCAUCUAGAUGAAAUCUAUCGACCUUGGUAGAAAAGGAGAAGUCUUAUGCGAUUUACGAGAUUGAGUUCGGAAAGUAUUUGGUUAAAGCAAAUUUGAAUACUGAAAAAGAGUUUUCAUGAGAUUCAUAAAUGAACUCGAGUCGAACUAAUCUACCAUAUGACUGACGAUGGGGUCUGACGAGUUCUCUAUAAUCUCCAUCAAGUCGAGACUCACGAUAGAAGGACUGAUUCAUACGAUAACUGCACCUAGGAGUUCAUAUUUUUAUUCUACUGAAUUGUCAUUAUAUAUUAGUAGGUGUCAUUGGUGGAUUGUGAGACUCAUCGGACGUCAUUUUAAUGAUCGAUGGCUCUCGAAUGAUAAAAUUGAAAAUAUUUCAAUCCAUCGAAAAAAGUUUCGAUGAUAUUGUGAUGGAGAUCACAAUAUAUCUAACUAGUAGAUAGAAUGGAACCUAUGGGGUCACACAUUAAGAGAUUUAAUCUUGAAUUUACCAAUUGAGCUUAUGAAGUUCCAAUUGGGUUAGGAUUUAUGAAAAUCCUAUUAGGUUUAUAAGAACCAUGCUAGUACACGGUUAAACCUAAUUCUUCUCGAGACUUCGAUUCGAAUAGCUUUGAACUUAACCUAAAUCCAUUUGGGUUUAAUUGAGCACUUAAUUGUGAGCCCAAAGAGAUUUGAUUAAGUCUAUUAGUUGGCAUGAUUAUCCUAAUAUUAUCUCUUCUUUAUCUUCUGAUUAUCUCUAAGUGUGCAUGUGGAAUAGAUGGAAGAUUGGAUGGCGCAUCCUUUUCUUUUUGAAAAAUUUUGGACAUCAAAUCCUUGAGGGGCCCACCCCCUCUUAUGUGUCAUGGUGAGGAGGAGAGAGAGUGGGGUCUAUGCCCCAUCUCUUUUGGUUAGAGAUCCCUUUGUGGGGUGUCAAGAGUUGGCACCCCAAUUACCUGACAAAUAUUACAUGAUACCUCUUAUACAUGCUUUAAGAGGCUGAUUAAUUAUCAUUUAUAUUUGAUUUUAUUUGACAUAAAUCAGAUUAGAAAGAUAGAAGAUUCUUAUGAGAUAAGGAUCUACCUUUUUAAGUUGAUUGGUUCCUCAUAUGUGUCAGGGUAGUGUCUAUUUAAAGGGAGGAUUCUAGGGUUUCUUUAGUGGUUGAAUUUUUGAUCAAAAAAAAUCUUCUCUCCCUUCUUCACACCUCUCCUCCCUCUCUUCCUUUUCAUGCCCAAAAGUUGGGUGCCUCUCUUCCACACACCCAAAAGCAGUGUUGGUGACUUGGAGAUUCUAGAUCGAGGAGAAGAAGAAAAAGAAGGCUGUAGAUCAAGGAGUUGAUCUCGCAGUUAAGAUCAAAGGAGUUGAUCAAAUUUCAAAUGCUAAGAUUCUUCUUAAGAAGAAAAAUCUUCUACGAAGAAAAAGAAAUUUGAGAUCGAUCCCGAUAGAUAUGCGUAGAGGAC
rnacentral:lncRNA from 1 species